UGGCGAACGGGUGAGUAACACGUGGGUAACCUGCCCAUCAGAAGGGGAUAACACUUGGAAACAGGUGCUAAUACCGUAUAACACUAUUUUCCGCAUGGAAGAAAGUUGAAAGGCGCUUUUGCGUCACUGAUGGAUGGACCCGCGGUGCAUUAGCUAGUUGGUGAGGUAACGGCUCACCAAGGCAACGAUGCAUAGCCGACCUGAGAGGGUGAUCGGCCACACUGGGACUGAGACACGGCCCAGACUCCUACGGGAGGCAGCAGUAGGGAAUCUUCGGCAAUGGACGAAAGUCUGACCGAGCAACGCCGCGUGAGUGAAGAAGGUUUUUCGGAUCGUAAAAACUUCUGGU
rnacentral:rRNA from 1 species